AAAUGCUUUGUUCACAAGCAGUAAAUAAGUGAACCUCGAACCUAUCUAGGAAUACGAUAUAGCGUUACUUCCGAACGGCAAACCAUGGCACUACGAAGUAAACGUAUGAUAGGCAAGAGUAAAGAAAACGCAUUAAUCAAGCGUAGUAUAAGGUGGCAUGCGAUUAUGCAAACAUCGAGGUCCUGGAAAAACCGAUGUAAAAUAAAUAACAGCACCCGUUUAGCGAGCGUGGUGAUAGGCGUUAUAGGCU
rnacentral:ncRNA from 1 species